UCCUCGAUAGUUUAACGGAUGAUUUCAGCUUGUCAUCUCAGAGAACAAGCGCGGGAGACCUGGUUCGACUCCCAGUCGGGGAG